CGCGUGUGUGUUGUGGAUGGCGGGGCGCGCGGGGGGUUACAGGAACCGUGCUUCCAGCGGCAACACCAUGAAUUAAUAAAAAAUAAAAUCAAAAGCCUAUUUCUGCCUUCUUUCGCCAUUCGGUUUAAAUCAAAUCGCAUCCCCCCAGUGUCUUCUUUUUCUUUUCUUUCCUUUUUUCUCCACAGUGUAUAUUAGGGAAGACAUGCGGGCGUGCUCGCGCGCGUGGCAGUGCAACAAGGAGGGAGAAGCGGGAGCUCGCGCCAGUUCUCAAACAGCCCGCACGCGCUCGAAAUUCCUCCAAGGAACCUCUGCGAGCUUUUCUUUUUUCAUCACGCGCGAGCUAAAAAUAGAAACGGGGUUGGAUCGUGAUCCAGAAAUAGAUAGGGGGCAUCACUCCUAUAAAAGGCACACCAUUCAAGAGUACAGUGAAGAAGCGGAAAGCCGGAGCACAUUUUAUGGUUAAUAAAAAGAAGAAGAAGAAGAAAAGAGGCGUUUUAUUUGGGGGGCCUCUUUUUACGCCACUUUUCGUAUUUUUAAAGGAGGCUCCGCUGCUACAAUGAUUCCCCCCCUCUUCCGUGCACGAUGAGUCUCGAGUCGUGACUGCUGAAAGUGAGUAAGGCGCGUGCUGCGUCAGUGGCGUCUGGCUUCGGUGCGCUCGAGACAGAUGGGGGGAAUCGUGACCGGCUGGGAGAGGCGUCCACGAAUGAACGGCUGGACGGCCCAAUGAAAACGAAGCGAGGGUAGGGCCCCUUGGUUCGGCAGCUGGAGGUUUGUCACAUCACACAUUGGACAAUGAGACACAGCAGCAGUGACCAAAGCACAAUGAGGUCAGAAGGUGGAAGCACGUGAGGGAAUCUGUAAAAGGGAAGUAAAGAGUAAAGUCUUUCAUUUUAUUUAUUUUUUAUUUUUUAUUUUGCAAAAUCAGCUAGUAAUGUUCUCAUGGUGUGAGGAUGUAAUCCUCACCUUCGACACGUACACAGACACACUCGCUGCGUUUAUCUUGCAUGCCCUUCUUUUUCAUUCAUCUUCUUUUGUUCUCUGUCUGUUAUUGUGGAUCAAAACGCAUUACGAUCAUUCCAAGAAGGAAACUGAUUCGGCUUAAGCAAAUUUUCUUUUACUCUUUUUUGUUAAAUACUGGACUAUUUAACAAAGGCACAAGGGGCACAUUUAACGUGUUGACAAUCAAAUAUUCAUAAUGUGUUUAUGACAUGCCAAUACACAGUCCUGUGUAGGGUGCCUGUUUUUUCCAACCCACACUGCCGUGCAUACACAGUCAGAUCUCCACACAUAUGAGUGUUCAGAUUAUUGCACAAUGUUAUGAUGAUUGUAUGAUUGUUCCAUGAUUUUUGGUAAACUUUUUAAAUCUGCCUUAAUCAGGAUCAAAUUCUGAGGUCACACACAGGCUGAAAGAAGCAGGAAGUGACCCCCCACGCCCCCCACCACCAUGCCCUAAACCCCUCUCCCUUAGCUCCAGCAUCUCAUGAAGUCAUGAGCUCCUGGUUUAGAAGAAUAUGUCCAACUCUCCCUAUCAGCACCUCCUCUCCAGGACAUCUCUUAAAUCAUCAUAGCUCCGAAAUAUACACACACUGGUUAGAAGGCAGUCUUUUGUCAUUGUGUGUUGAUGGAGGUUUGGGGAAAGGACAGGGACAAGGUAGAAAUACUUAAAAGGGUCUUUUCAACAGUGAAGGACACUAUACUAAAAAAAAAAAGCCUUUCACAAACCAAAUAAAUAAUUUAAGGAAAACAGAGGGAUUCUGAAAUUUUAUACUGGAAAAUAUACAAAAAUGUAGAUUAAUGAUGUGGUGUAUGUGUGUUCCUCUCUUUUUCUACAGGGCUGUACUGCAUGCGUCAUUGCUGACAUAUGGGACCGCAAAUGAGAAGCUGAUUUGUAGUUUUAAAUGUGUUAAACACGUCUGCGUCAAACUCCACAGGAGAUAUCCCAUGGAAAUAAUGUUUGUAAACGUAUUAAGUGAUGCCAGCUUUUUUGUUUUGCAGUGCUUUUCCUGCUUAGACGUAAAAUCACUGUUAAUUCACGACAGCGGGCAGAAUGAAAUUUUCGUUACGAGUUAAUGUGCGUCUGUGCUGUAGUGCUGGCUUUUCAGACGUAAGAGUGGAUGUCUGCAUGCCUGGAUUCGAGACACUGCCAUUAUGUGCAAACGUGCAGUGAAGAAAACGUGCAAAGUUUCCCACAGCAUCCUGAGAUUUAUAUGAUUACUUUGUUGAGAUUUUGCAUAUACACUGUUAUGCAAAUGUCACUAAAUACUUGAAAGCUACACGCACGUGUUCUGCACCUACGUUUGUGUAUCAGGCAGAAAGUCUUCAGAUAAGCACAACAAGAAUUACAUAGAAACUAUACAAUUUUACAGUUUGCAGAGAAACUCACUUAGCAUGGAGUAAGUUAAAAUAAAAAUAAGAGAAGUGAACUUUUCCAAAAAAUAUGUCAAUAAAUAGAUACACUCCCUUGUAAAGGGUGCCCUAAUAAAUGCAUUCAAAUACGAGUUACCUUGAACAUAUAACAUUUAACUCAGGUGUAGAUUUUCUCCAUGAUAACAGACUUCUGUUUCCCUUAAUGUAACAACAGGUAAGAUAAGACACACAUAGCAUGUGAACAAACUGUAUCCAGUUAUUACUGAGGUGUGUGCGUGUGUGUGUUUUGCUAUACAAUCCUGUUUUCUUCUUCAAGAUUCUUUGCUUUGCUAUGUAAUUCAUUUCUUUUAAAAUUAAUAUUACAUUUCAGCUCAGUCUCUUUCUUUCUUGUUUUCUCUUUCAGGUGUUUAAAAAGUCAAUGAUAUGUAAAACUUAAACAGAUUUCCCAACUGUGAUUUCAUUUUCUCCUUUCCCCUUAAUAUACACCGAAUUUCAAUUUUGUGGUACGUCAUUAACUGUGUGUAUUAUUAUCAUUAUUAUUGUCUUUAAAUAAAGUUAUUUCAAGUCUCUAUGCAACAACAUGGAUGAUUAAUAAAAGCCUUGAAAAAUCCUGCAUCGUGUGUCUUCAUUAAGUUUGCAUGUUUGAUUUGAGGAGAUACGUGUUGUAAAGAAUUAGGUAUUCACACAUCAAUGUGAUUCUUUGCUGUAAAGACGCACAUGGAACUACACAAUAAUAAAAGCCGG
ensembl:lncRNA